rnacentral:rRNA from 1 species
AGAGUUUGAUCCUGGCUCAGAACGAACGCUGGCGGCGUGGAUAAGACAUGCAAGUCGAGCGGAGUACACAAGGUAUCAAUAUUUUGUGUGUUCAGCGGCGCAAGGGUGCGUAACACGUGGGUAAUUGGCCAUGAAGUCUGGAAUAACUUGCUGAAAGGCGAGCUAAUGCCGGAUGUGACUUCCGAAGGGCAUCUUUUGGAAUUCAAAGCUGGAACCGUAAGGUCUGGCGCUUCUUGAUAAGCCCGCGGUCUAUCAGCUAGUUGGUGAGGUAACGGCUCACCAAGGCUAAGACGGAUAGCUGGUCUGAGAGGACGACCAGCCACACUGGAACUGAGACACGGUCCAGACACCUACGGGUGGCAGCAGUCGAGAAUUUUUCACAAUGGGCGAAAGCCUGAUGGAGCGACGCCGCGUGGGGGAUGAAUGGCUUCGGCCCGUAAACCCCUGUCAUUUGCGAACAAACCUUACCGGUUAAUACCCGGUGAGCUGAUGUAGCGAAGAGAAGGGACA